GCACACCUAGCUUGUUUCCACGCUGCUCGUGUGUAGUCUGCAGUGAACGCUCCAAGAUCCUGAUUUCAACUUCCUUGGGAGAACUGCAAACUCUUUCCUUCAGAACCAACCUGGAGAGCUCAGGUGCGGGUCCAGCUGCACUAAACCCAUCAUCAAACAUAGCCUUGUUAAUCACGUCAAAGUUGCCACCUAUUAAGAUCAAGACCUCUGUAUUUAUUCUGGGUGAAAUGCAAUGUGAUUUACCUCGAGAAUUUGCUGGUAAAGGGUCACUCCAUUUGUCAGACUGUUUAGAAUCCCAUUUUGGAAAUCUGGGAUGUUAUCAAAAUUUCUAAAAAUGGUCCUUGAGAAUCCGAGUCCUGUCUGACACCCACCAUGAAAUGGAGCCAGACUGAUUUUGCUCUCCAGCUCAGAUUUGCAGGAGUUGGCUGAGAGUCACCUGAAAUGACGUCCCUUUGGAGGAAGGGGUGGUACUGAAGGUCACCUUUUCUGAAAUUGGAAAAUGUUUGCAUGUUUUUGCUAAAACAAAUGAUCAGAAAUAAUUUCUUGUGUGUAAAAUGGAAAGAAAAAGUAAUUUUUAAUCAACUCAGGUGAUUGAUGUGUUUAUAGUGAAGAAGGUGUGACCACUCGCUCAGUGGAAAUAAAAUUCUCAGUUUUGUGCUCAGCAAUGGAGAAAAGCAAUUUCUGGCUCUUAAUGUUUUUCCCCCAAUAACUUGGAGUAAAAGAAAAUGCAUUGGUAAAUAAUGAAA